CCCAGUUGCUGGUGGCGGUGGUGCAGGUCAGAGCACAGGGCCUGUGCUCAGCCACAGGGUUCUCACUGUCACAGAGGAGCCUCCAGGAUGUGGGCUGCACGAACGUAGUGGACGGCAGACCUACUGGAAGCAGGAGAGGGUGAGGGAUGGCCGCACCCUGGACAGAGGGAGACACGGAGCGGAUGACAGCAGGCUCCUUACCACCGCCAGUGGUAGAAGAGAACCAAAGAACAAUCAAGGCUCCAUGGCACCAGGUAAUGCCCACUUUGUGCGGGGUCAACCUCCAAGUAAACUCAGUGGAUUACAGGUAAGGAUAACCUCACAGAAAAUACUGCUGUCGUAAGUACUUUUAAGUCCCCUUUUUUAACACUCCCUCUCCUUACAAAAAGCACUGGUGAUGACAUGUACCCAGGACAUUUAAACACAGAAGUGAAUGAACCCUUGGGACUGGAGAGGAGGAGGGGCACGCGGGUGCCUGAGCUGUCACCACCUUCCUGCGGUCACUCUAGCUCGCCCUGUGGUCCGGGCAGAUGAACAGAUCCUUACUUUAAACCCUAGUGGUUUCCACCUUAAAUAACCCAAGGGAAACACCCACAGGCCAGGUCCAUUAGCAAAGGUGUGCUCCUCACGAACAUGGAGAGGAGCAAGGACGGGCAUUUCAGAAAACAGCAGCAGACAACCCUCACGGCGACCUGCUGACCUGUGGGGACUGCGGCAGGAGGGGACGCCAGGAUGCCACCUCUCACCUCAGCAGCAUCUGCAGCUCUGCCUCCCGCGCCCGCUCCAGCUCCAGCUGCUCCUCAAUGACCCGCUUCAUCCAGGCCACGUCGGCCAGGGCCUGCUCCCGCCGGGCCUGGUGCACACGCCGGUUCUCGUCCUCCUCCUCUAACAGCGCCUGCAGGAUGCGCUUGUCCGCCUCCUAGAGGACAGACGAGGAAGCGCAGUUACCGCAGUUUCCAGUUGGAAAGACAUCACCAUGUGAGUACCCAUGGAAAUCAUCACAUUUCCAUGCAAGUGUCCAUGCCGGCCAGUCACCCUCCCCCAGGUCCCUGAGUCAGUCACAUCUCCCGGCAGCAGGUGGCCCUCCAACCCUAAGGGAAGGCGCUCACCGCACAGUUACCUCCGCUGGUAGGAGGCCCUGGAGCUCCACUCUGCCUGUUUAGAGCUGCAGAUGUCAGACACCUGGAAGUAGCGGCUGU